rnacentral:rRNA from 1 species
GACAGAGGGUGCAAACGUUGUUCGGAAUUACUGGGCGUAAAGCGCGUGUAGGCGGCCAUCUAAGUCGGGCGUGAAAUCCCUCAGCUUAACUGGGGAACUGCGUCCGAUACUGGAUGGCUUGAGUUUGGGAGAGGGAUGCGGAAUUCCAGGUGUAGCGGUGAAAUGCGUAGAUAUCUGGAGGAACACCGGUGGCGAAGGCGGCAUCCUGGACCAACACUGACACUGAGGAGCGAAAGCCAGGGGAGCAAACGGG